CCUACGGGAGGCAGCAGUGGGGAAUAUUGGGCAAUGGGGGCAAGCCUGACCCAGCAACGCCGCGUGAAGGAAGAAGGCUUUCGGGUUGUAAACCUCUUUUAUCAGGGACGAAGCUAGUGACGGUACCUGAUGAAUAAGCCACGGCCAACUACGUGCCAGCAGCCGCGGUAAUACGUAGGUGGCAAGCGUUAUCCGGAUGUACUGGGUGUAAAGGGCGUGGAGGCGGGAGGGCAAGUCAGAAGUGAAACCCAGGGGCUCAACCCAUAGCCUGCAUUUGAAACUGUACUGCUUGAGUGCUGGAGGGGCAAGCGGAAUUCCGUGGGUAGCGGUGAAAUGCGUAGAUAUUCGGAGGAACACCAGUGGCGAAGGCGGAUUGCUGGACAGUAACUGACGCUGAGGCGCGAAAGCGUGGGGAGCAAACAGGAUUAGAUACCCUAGUAGUC
rnacentral:rRNA from 1 species